ACAAAAUUAAGUAUCUCCCCUCCCCAAAUUCAAUUCCCCUCAACCACCCCCGUCUCCACACUACUCUCCCCUCCCCCGUCUGAAUCAGCGCCGCCCCUCCUUCCUCCGCCGUGAAUCCCUCCCCUUCGUUUAUCUAUUAUUUCUGCAGCUCCACACCAGCCUCUCCCCUCUCCCGCGGCGAUUACUCCGGCCCCACCGUGGCCCCUCCUUCCUAUUUCCGCGUAGCAAUUUCUCCCUCUCUUCCGCCGCGAUUCGCGUCACUGCCGCUGCCGCAAUCGCCAGAGAUCUACUCCGAUCUGCCACCGCGGCCCCUUCUUCCUGUCUCCGCCUUCACCGCGCCGGCCACCUCCCUUCCCCCGUAAGCCCUCCGAUCUGCAUCGCCGCCUCUUUCUUUCUUCAAUCGGCGAGAUGGACUACAUCAAAUCAAAAACGUGCCCAGGGGAAAAUUCGUCAACACCACGAGGGGCUCGACCUCGCCGGCACCAACCGCGAAUCGCCGAGCCCCUAGAUCCCCAAAGUCUCACCGCCUCUUUGUGAUUUCCGGCGACCACGGCAACCAUGUCCGCCGAUCUGCCACCUUUCUUCCCCCAUAUGAUUUUUGGUUUAGAGGAUUAAGGGAUUGCUUACUUCCCUGUUUUGGCGGGUGGCGGCAGGAAAUUUUUGUUAGAUUUUUGGCUGGAAGUAAGCGAUUGCUUUACUUCUCUGUUUUGCCGUGGCUGAGAUCUCUGAGCACAUCACCAACAAGGUCUCCGAGCACUACAUGAAAAGAUAACCAGCAGCCAUAUUUAGAGUACAAAGGGAUCAUAAGGUGGAGACUUUCUAUCUAAUUGCUGAAAAUUAGAUUUAAGUUAAACAAGUUCUCAAUUUCGCAUGUAAUGAAAUGCAAUUGUAGUAGGUUUUGUACUCUAAUUUUGGUUUAUAAAUAAACUUUUCUAAUUUUAGUGAUUUGGAAUACUUCCUUUUGAUUUACCUAUAUCUCUUUGUGUUAUUGUUAUUUCAGAAGGAGCUAUGUGUAUGACCUGCCAUGGAACAACUUUGCCUAAUAAGGAAUCUUUUGUAUGGGUUUAUUAGGCUUUUUCAACAUCAUUCAAAACCCCAUACAGUGUUAGCCGGACAACUGGAGGAGUCUCACUUUUGUUUGCAAACGCUGCAUUUGAUUAAUCAUUUCUUUGUCUUUCUUAAUUUUGUUAACUUUUGAUUUUGUCAACUCAAAACUAUAUAUAAUUUGCAAUACAUAAUUUAUAAUCA